rnacentral:rRNA from 1 species
GUGCCAGAGCCGCGGUAAUUCCAGCUCCAAUAGCGUAUAUUAAAGUUGAUGCAGUUAAAAAGCUCGUAGUUGAACCUUGGGCCUGGCUGGCCGGUCCGCCUCACCGCGUGUACUGGUCCGGCCGGGCCUUUCCUUCUGGGGAACCUCAUGCCCUUCACUGGGCGUGUUGGGGAACCAGGACUUUUACUUUGAAAAAAUUAGAGUGUUCAAAGCAGGCCUUUGCUCGAAUACAUUAGCAUGGAAUAAUAGAAUAGGACGUGUGGUUCUAUUUUGUUGGCUUCUAGGACCGCCGUAAUGAUUAAUAGGGAUAGUCGGGGGCAUCAGUAUUCAAUCGUCAGAGGUGAAAUUCUUGGAUUGAUUGAAGACUAACUACUGCGAAAGCAUUUGCCAAGGAUGUUUUCAUUAAUCAGUGAACGAAAGUUAGGGGAUCGAAGACGAUCAGAUACCGUCGUAGUCUUAACCAUAAACUAUGCCGACUAGGGAUCGGACGGUGUUAGUAUUUUUGACCCGUUCGGCACCUUACGAGAAAUCAAAGUUUUUGGGGUUCUGGGGGGAGUAUGGUCGCAAGGCUGAAACUUAAAGAAAUUGACGGAAGGGCACCACCAGGCGUGGAGCCUGCGGCUUAAUUUUGACUCAACACGGGGAAACUCACCAGGUCCAGACACAAUAAGGAUUGACAGAUUGAGAGCUCUUUCUUGAUUUUUGUUGGUGUUGGUGCAUGGCCCGUUCUUAACUGUCGGAGAGGAUGU